UACGGAGGGGGCUAGCGUUGUUCGGAAUUACUGGGCGUAAAGCGCACGUAGGCGGCUUUGUAAGUUAGAGGUGAAAGCCCAGGGCUUAACCCUGGAAUUGCCUUUAAGACUGCAUCGCUAGAAUCGUGGAGAGGUGAGUGGAAUUCCGAGUGUAGAGGUGAAAUUCGUAGAUAUUCGGAAGAACACCAGUGGCGAAGGCGACACACUGGCUUGUUACUGAUGUUGAGGCGCGAAAGCGUGGGGAGCAAACAGG
rnacentral:rRNA from 1 species